rnacentral:rRNA from 1 species
UACGUAGGAUGCAAGCGUUGUCCGGAAUACUGGGCGUAAAGCGUGCGCAGACGGUUGCGUAAGUCAGAUGUGAAAGCCCCGGGCUCAACCUGGGAAUUGCAUUUGAGACUGCGUAGCUAGGGUGCGGAAGAGGGAAGCGGAAUUUCCGGUGUAGCGGUGAAAUGCGUAGAUAUCGGAAGGAACACCAGUGGCGAAAGCGGCUUCCUGGUCCAGCACCGACGUUCAGGCACGAAAGCGUGGGGAGCAAACAGG